AGAGCGCUGCUUCCCCAGGCAGGAAGCGGUGUCAGCCACCACCUCGCCUAAGACUUCGCCCAGGGCUUGGGGGAAGGCGUGGCCGAAAGGUUUUCCGAAAAGUUUCAGGCGCAGAGACAGCGAGUUGCAGGGUCCCGCUCCGCAGCGACAGUCACCCAAGGGAUCGGGGUCCGGGGAGUCAUCCUCCAGCCGCACCCACCGGGUCUGGUCCCGGAACCCGGACCAGCUCCCGCGCUCAGGUGAGGCGACCACGCCCGUCGCCCGCCCCACUCACCUUCUUCAUUUUGGUUUCCAGGUCCAUACUGGGCGUCGGAGGGGCUCAGUCCCGCGUCCGCGAUCUCCGCUGCGGGAACUCCGGCGCCGCUGCCGCUGCUACUCAGCAUGGGCACUCGAACUUCCGCAGCCCGGUUCGGCAGCGGCUGGGACCUGGAACAAAGAGGCCCUGGCAGCCAAUGGCAGCGGGGCAGUGCCGGGUAGCGGCCAAUCAGCGCGCGCCGCACGCACCUUCGCAGCCAGAGCGUGCCGCUAGCAAGGUGAGGGGCGGGGCCGCGAGGGGCGGGGCCCUGCGGAGUUCCCUGGGCGCACCGACUUAGUUUCUUCAAAGCCUUGCACCCACUGGACUUCUGUGGGGCCAUCCUUUCCUCCAGCUGAAGAGCAGACCCAUACCUUUACAUUUCGGUAGUUGUACUUGUGUGUCCGAGGACUUUUCAAGCAGGCCAAGAGGAGUGAGUGACCCUCCCAGUACCAACUUCUUGGCUGAUUUCAGAGACAAAAAGAAGUCAUGGAGCUCCUUGGGCAUCCCAGAGAUGAGCACGGGCCCUGGUUUCACUAUUGAAUGGUGGAGAUGUCCAUUUCUCCAAUGCUUUCUCUAGAGUCCUGUGCACUUCCAAGGAAGCUUCUCUCACAUCGUUGAUGCCCAUCAAGACUACCACUAUAUUGUUUUGUGAGCACUCAACACUAAAAAGCAACGGGAGGCUCACAGCAACUACUGCAGAAGCAGAUGAAGAUUUGAAGAAUUGGAGGCAUCUAGCCCAUACACUGUCUCAAACCAGAUGGCCGGGACCCAGAACUCCUUUUAUUUACUUAUGUUUUUCUGUUUAAAGAUCCAUAAUAAAUUACUUCCUAAGAGGUCAACGAUGAGUACAGAAAAGUGACAAACGAAGAAAACACUGUUUGGUGGCUGCUAACUGCAUGUGGCUAUUUAACUUUUAAUUAAAAUAUUUUUUAAAAUGUUAAUAAACUUAUAUCUUACCCUCUUGGUAAUACUAACCAUACUGCAUGUGGGAAAUCCCCCAAACACAGCUCAACUUCUCAAGGCUUCAUAAGAACUAAAACUAGCUUCUAUGAAGUUGGAAAAAGAUCUAAACCUUGCCUGAUUGCAAACACAAAAUGAGUAAUUCAUGAAAAUGAGUGGCAGUAAAUUCAGAAGGCAGAAACCAUACAAACUUAUCAGCAUAAGAAGAGGAAGAAGAGAAGGAAGAAGAGGAGGAUAUCAGGAAAUUCCUACAGAUAAUGAAGGGAUGUGGAGAGCCGUAAGUAAUCGCCAUUACAAGAUGGCGCUGGCUCCCGCUGUGCCUAGUAAACAAGCAUUGUGCGCAGAUUCGAGAGUGAAUUCACGCCAAGUCACUGCCCAUCUCGGGGCUUAGUAAUGAGGUGAUGGGCGAGCAACAAAUCAGGUGCUGACACGCCAUGCUGAGGGCUAUAUAAGCAGCACCAUUUUCUGGGUUCUGGCUCUUCCCUCCUGAAGAAGCAAUAAAGCUUUUGCUGCAGAAGAA